AUGAAGGAUGAUGGGUAUGGUAUAUUUCUCACUAUUCUUUCAGUAUGUCAUUCUCCUGAUUGGUUGAUUGACACGGGUGCUAAUGUUCAUGUAUGCGGUGAUAUUUCCAUGUUUUCGUCUUAUCAGAUCGCACGGACUUCAACCGUGCUGAUGGGCAAUGGUUCAAGUGUUUUUGUUCGUGGUGUUGGCACGAUCGAUCUGAAGUUUACUUCGGGGAAGAUCGUGCGGCUGAAGAACGUGCAUUAUGUCCCCUCCGUCAAUAAAAAUCUUGUUAGCGGAUCUCUUCUGUGUAGAGAUGGCUACAAGCUUGUCUUUGAGUCGAAUAAAUUUGUAAUAUCCAAGUAUGGAACCUUUGUUGGUAAAGGUUAUGAGUCAGGAGGCCUGUUUCGUUUAUCCUUAUCAGACGUUUGCAAUAAAAUUGUUAAUCAUAUUAGCAACAAUAGUGAAUCAAAUGUGUGGCAUUCACGUCUUUGUCAUGUUAACUUUGGUUGCAUGUCACGACUAGCGAAGUUGAACUUAAUCCCUAGUUUCAUCACUGUCAAGGGAUCUAAGUGUCAAGUGUGUGUGCAAGCUAAGCAACCUCGUAAGUCUCACACGACUGCGAAAACGAGAAAUCUUGAACCACUAGAGCUCAUACAUUCAGAUCUAUGUGAAAUGAAUGGUGUUUUGACAAAAGGUGGAAAGAAAUAUUUCAUGACGUUAAUUGAUGACUCCACUAGAUACUGCCGUGUGUAUCUUCUGAAAUCUAAGGAUGAGGCUUUGAAAUUUUUCAAGAUCUAUAAAGCUGAAGUGGAAAACCAACUUGAUCGGAAAAUAAAGAGGCUUAGGUCCGACCGUGGUGGAGAGUAUUUCUCCAAUGAAUUUGAUGCUUUUUGUGCGGAACAUGGUAUAAUCCAUGAGAGGACGCCUCCCUAUUCACCUCAGUCAAAUGGGGUGGCCGAAAGAAAGAACCGUACUCUAACUGAUUUGGUUAACGCCAUGUUAGACACAUCGGGUCUCUCCAAGGCAUGGUGGGGGGAGGCGAUAUUGACGACAUGUCAUGUCCUAAACUGA
rnacentral:rRNA from 1 species